GACGAACGCUGGCGGCGUGCUUAACACAUGCAAGUCGAACGGAAAGGCCCUGCUUUUGUGGGGUGCUCGAGUGGCGAACGGGUGAGUAACACGUGAGUAACCUGCCCUUGACUUUGGGAUAACUUCAGGAAACUGGGGCUAAUACCGGAUAGGAGCUCCUGCUGCAUGGUGGGGGUUGGAAAGUUUCGGCGGUUGGGGAUGGACUCGCGGCUUAUCAGCUUGUUGGUGGGGUAGUGGCUUACCAAGACUUUGACGGGUAGCCGGCCUGAGAGGGUGACCGGCCACAUUGGGACUGAGAUACGGCCCAGACUCCUACGGGAGGCAGCAGUGGGGAAUAUUGCACAAUGGGCGGAAGCCUGAUGCAGCAACGCCGCGUGCGGGAUGAAGGCCUUCGGGUUGUAAACCGCUUUCGCCUGUGACGAAGCGUGAGUGACGGUAAUGGGUAAAGAAGCACCGGCUAACUACGUG
rnacentral:rRNA from 1 species